GCACAAGCGGCGGAGCAUGCGGAUUAAUUCGAUGCAACGCGAAGAACCUUACCAAGGCUUGACAUAUACGAGAACGCUGCAGAAAUGUAGAACUCUUUGGACACUCGUAAACAGGUGGUGCAUGGUUGUCGUCAGCUCGUGUCGUGAGAUGUUGGGUUAAGUCCCGCAACGAGCGCAACCCUCGUUCUAUGUUGCCAGCACGUAAUGGUGGGAACUCAUGGGAUACUGCCGGGGUCAACUCGGAGGAAGGUGGGGAUGACGUCAAAUCAUCAUGCCCCUUAUGUCUUGGGCUUCACGCAUGCUACAAUGGCCGGUACAAAGGGCUGCAAUACCGUAAGGUGGAGCGAAUCCCAAAAAGCCGGUCCCAGUUCGGAUUGAGGUCUGCAACUCGACCUCAUGAAGUCGGAGUCGCUAGUAAUCGCAGAUCAGCAACGCUGCGGUGAAUACGUUCCCGGGUCUUGUACACACCGCCCGUCAAGUCAUGAAAGUCGGUAACACCUGAAGCCGGUGGCCCAACCC
rnacentral:rRNA from 1 species